AGUGAACGCUGGCGGUAGGCCUAACACAUGCAAGUCGAACGGCAGCACAGUAAGAGCUUGCUCUUACGGGUGGCGAGUGGCGGACGGGUGAGGAAUACAUCGGAAUCUACUUUUUCGUGGGGGAUAACGUAGGGAAACUUACGCUAAUACCGCAUACGACCUACGGGUGAAAGCAGGGGAUCUUCGGACCUUGCGCGAUUGAAUGAGCCGAUGUCGGAUUAGCUAGUUGGCGGGGUAAAGGCCCACCAAGGCGACGAUCCGUAGCUGGUCUGAGAGGAUGAUCAGCCACACUGGAACUGAGACACGGUCCAGACUCCUACGGGAGGCAGCAGUGGGGAAUAUGGGACAAUGGGCGCAAGCCUGAUCCAGCCAUACCGCGUGGGUGAAGAAGGCCUUCGGGUUGUAAAGCCCUUUUUGUUGGGAAAGAAAAGCAGCAGGUUAAUACCCCGCUGUUCUGACGGUACCCAAAGAAUAAGCACCGGCUAACUUCGUG
rnacentral:rRNA from 1 species